rnacentral:rRNA from 1 species
UACGUAGGGGGCGAGCGUUGUCCGGAAUUAUUGGGCGUAAAGAGCUCGUAGGCGGUUCGGCAAGUCACGUGUGAAAUCUCCACGCUCAACGUGGAGGCGCCACGUGAGACUGCCGUGACUCGAGUCCGGUAGGGGAGCGUGGAAUUCCCGGUGUAGCGGUGAAAUGCAUAGAGAUCGUAAGGAAGACCAGUGGCGAAGGCGGGUCUCUGGACAGUUCCUGACACUGAGGCACGAAGGCCAGGGGAGCAAACGGG